rnacentral:sRNA from 1 species
UGACCCGGAGCGUGCUUGCACGCACAGGGACAUGGAUAUUGGACGGGCAAGCCAGUAUGAGUAAGGAGGACGAUAGUCCGGAUUACGAAUACUGGCGGCGAUUGCGGGAGCACAAGGUGCGGAGCAAUCG